rnacentral:rRNA from 1 species
GUUUCAGCCGCCGCGGUAAUACAGGGGGGGCAAGCGUUGUUCGGAAUUACUGGGCGUAAAGGGCCAGUAGGCGGCCAACUAAGUCCGACGUGAAAUCCCCAAGCUUAACUUGGGAACUGCGUCGGAUACUGGAUGGCUUGAAUUCGGGAGAGGGAUGCAGAAUUCCAGGUGUAGCGGUGAAAUGCGUAGAUAUCUGGAGGAAUACCGGUGGCGAAGGCGGCAUCCUGGACCGACAUUGACGCUGAACGGCGAAAGCUAGGGGAGCAAACGGGAUUAGAAACCCCAGUAGUCC